rnacentral:rRNA from 1 species
AAGUCGAGCGGACCGACGGGAGCUUGCUCCCUUAGGUCAGCGGCGGACGGGUGAGUAACACGUGGGUAACCUGCCUGUAAGACUGGGAUAACUCCGGGAAACCGGGGCUAAUACCGGAUGCUUGAUUGAACCGCAUGGUUCAAUUAUAAAAGGUGGCUUUCAGCUACCACUUGCAGAUGGACCCGCGGCGCAUUAGCUAGUUGGUGAGGUAACGGCUCACCAAGGCGACGAUGCGUAGCCGACCUGAGAGGGUGAUCGGCCACACUGGGACUGAGACACGGCCCAGACUCCUACGGGAGGCAGCAGUAGGGAAUCUUCCGCAAUGGACGAAAGUCUGACGGAGCAACGCCGCGUGAGUGAUGAAGGUUUUCGGAUCGUAAAACUCUGUUGUUAGGGAAGAACAAGUACUGUUCGAAUAGGGCGGUACCUUGACGGUACCUAACCAGAAAGCCACGGCUAACUACGUGCCAGCAGCCGCGGUAAUACGUAGGUGGCAAGCGUUGUCCGGAAU